ACAUCCGCCCGGGUACUACGAGCACAGCUUAAAACCCAAAGGACUUGGCGGUGUCUCAAACCCAUUUAGAGGAGCCUGUUCUAAAACCGACACCCCCCGUUAAACCUCACCACUUCUUGUUUUUCCCGCCUAUAUACCGCCGUCGUCAGCUUACCCUAUGAAGGCCUAACAGUAAGCAAAAUGGGCCUACCCAAAAACGUCAGGUCGAGGUGUAGCGUAUGGAGUGGAAAGAAAUGGGCUACAUUUCCUAUAUCUAGAAUACAUACGAACAGCACCAUGAAAAUUGAUGCUUGAAGGUGGAUUUAGUAGUAAAAAGCAAAUAGAGCGUUCUUUUGAAUUAGGCUCUGAGACACGCACACACCGCCCGUCACUCUCCCCCCGCACCCUAAAAAAUAUUCCUAAUACAUUAAAUAUUAUUACGGGGAGGCAAGUCGUAACAUGGUAAGUGUACCGGAAGGUGCACUUGGGGUAAU
rnacentral:rRNA from 1 species